rnacentral:rRNA from 1 species
CACGUAGGGUGCGAGCGUUGUCCGGAAUUAUUGGGCGUAAAGAGCUCGUAGGCGGUGUGUCGCGUCGGCCGUGAAAACCUGCAGCUCAACUGUGGGCUUGCGGUCGAUACGGGCAUCACUGGAGUUCGGCAGGGGAGACUGGAAUUCCUGGUGUAGCGGUGAAAUGCGCAGAUAUCAGGAGGAACACCGGUGGCGAAGGCGGGUCGCUGGGCCGAUACUGACGCUGAGGAGCGAAAGCGUGGGGAGCGAACAGG